rnacentral:rRNA from 1 species
AGGCUUUGAUCCUGGCUCAGGAUGAACGCUGGCGGCGUGCUUAACACAUGCAAGUCGAACGAACCUUCGGGUUAGUGGCGGACGGGUGAGUAACGCGUGAGAAUCUGCCCUCAGGAGGGGGAUAACGGCUGGAAACGGCCGCUAAUACCCCAUAUGCCGAGAGGUGAAACGAAUUUCGCCUGAGGAUGAGCUCGCGUCUGAUUAGCUAGUUGGUGGGGUAAAGGCCUACCAAGGCGACGAUCAGUAGCUGGUCUGAGAGGAUGAUCAGCCACACUGGGACUGAGACACGGCCCAGACUCCUACGGGAGGCAGCAGUGGGGAAUUUUCCGCAAUGGGCGAAAGCCUGACGGAGCAACGCCGCGUGAGGGAUGAAGGCCUCUGGGCUGUAAACCUCUUUUCUACAAGGAAGAAGAUCUGACGGUACUUGAGGAAUAAGCCACGGGUAUAUCCGUG